rnacentral:rRNA from 1 species
AACGAACACUGGCGGCAGGCUUAACACAUGCAAGUCGAACGCAUCGCAAGAUGAGUGGCAGACGGGUGAGUAACGCGUGGGAACAUACCCUUUUCUACGGAAUAGCUCUGGGAAACUGGAAUUAAUACCGUAUACGCCCUACGGGGGAAAGAUUUAUCGGGGAAGGAUUGGCCCGCGUUGGAUUAGCUAGUUGGUGGGGUAAAGGCCUACCAAGGCGACGAUCCAUAGCUGGUCUGAGAGGAUGAUCAGCCACAUUGGGACUGAGACAUGGCCCAAACUCCUACGGGAGGCAGCAGUGGGGAAUAUUGGACAAUGGGCGCAAGCCUGAUCCAGCCAUGCCGCGUGAGUGAUGAAGGCCUUAGGGUUGUAAAGCUCUUUCACCGAUGAAGAUAAUGACGGUAGUCGGAGAAGAAGCCCCGGCUAACUUCGUGCCAGCCGCCGCCGUAAGAC